rnacentral:rRNA from 1 species
UGGUAACAAGGUCUUCCGUAGGUGAACCUGCGGAAGGAUCAUUA